UUGAGAAAAUGACAUGUUAUAAAGUUGGUACAGGUAUAAGAAAGGAAAAGCUCAACUAAGAAAAGAAGAUUAUUAUUAAGUGAUGAUUAUAUGAGAUAAUUGUUGAAUUGUUAGAUUAUGAAGGAUGUCUCAAUAAACAGUAGGUUGAGGAUUGUUCGUCUAUUUUGUUGUAAAUCUAAAUAUUGAUCCAUUGCAUAGUAACACUGUAGAAAGUAUAAACAUGUUGAACAAACCCUAAGUGGUCACCACUUGACCAUUGGUGAUUGGAUAAUCUGGCAAUAACAAACACUAAGCUGACAUGGAGGAUUGGAAGCGAACUGCAGAUUGGAAAAGAGUUUCCUGUAUUUGGACACAGUUGCUACUGCAAGGCCUUAUGCGUGGCAGCAGGAUUCGGCUCAUUACCAUACCCCUAGAAAGAGUGAGAAGUGGUUGUCGGAGUAUUUAUGGGGUUUCAGUGGACCCAUUUGUAAACUUCCUAGUUUCCCUGGUUGAAAUCACAUGGAUUAUUUUGUAUGGGGCACAGUUGAGAAAGACACCAUUCGCUCUGAUUGCAACCCUAAACUUGAGCUGGUACCCAAAACUAAAGAAGUUUUCAAAGGUUUUAUCAGCUGUCAUAAAGAGAAACACAGGCUUCAGGUUUCAGGGUCGUCUUCAGAGAGCAGUGGAAGCUGAGAGGAAUUACUUGUCUCUCCCAGCCAUAUCUAGUCGAAAUGUUUUGAAUUUUUCGAAUACUUUUAUUUUUAGAUUAGAUAUUCUGCUUUGUUUUCCUUUUAUGCAAACUGUCAAACUUAAACCGAACACUUUAAACAAGAAAGUUAAGACUAAACGAACGCAAAAAGGACAGUUUUCAAGUGAUAACUAAUUGAGAAAAUUAUGUUGUGAGAACAUUUAAGCUGUCUGGAAAGAGAAACUAGGUUUAGGAGGGUAAGUCUAUUUUUGUGGUGGACCUCAAUUUGGCGCAGUUAAUGGGAUCGCAAUAGAAAGUAUAAAUAUGUUGGCCAACAGAAUAGUGAUCACCAUUUGACUAUUGAUCAUAGGAAUAUCUCACAACAAUAAAAUAGAGAUUAUUAAUGAUAACGAAACUUUAAUGCCUGAAACUUGAAUAUAUUUUUUUCAGAGACUCCAACGCCUGGGAAGAAGUUCUCAAAGGUAUCACAGUCAACACCCUCUACAUCACAGCCGGUUGAGACUCCAACGCCUGGGAAGAAGUUCUCAAAGGUAUCACAGUCAACACCCUCUACAUCACAGCCGGUUGAGACUCCAACGCGUGAGAAUAUGUUCUGGAAGGUUUUAGAUUUUCUCAGAAGUUUUACAUCACGGCCAGUUGAAAAUCGAACAUUUCAAGACAAGGAAACGCAGACACUGGCAGAGCCAAUUGGUUUUCAAAAACUGGAUGAGAGGUUUCUCCUGAAGGUGGCACGGCAGUUAGGAAGCAAUUGGUGGCAAGUGGGUGAGUAGAAAAUAACAAUACCUAAUUGAUGUCUGUAAAUUUUAAUUUCAUUUGAGCCUUGUAUGUCAGAAUGACUGAGAACAGGUUCCAUUCCUAAUUUCCAUUUGAAAUGUUAACUGUGAAAUAAUUCUAUUAAAAAUAUUAAUCUAAUACAAUAAAAUUGAGGUUAGCAAGGUUGGUAAAAUGGAUAAAUUAAUAAAACACAGUUGAAAAGAUAUUGUCUUUUGGAAGAAGGGACUAAAAUAUACUGUUGUUUAAGGCUAAAUAGAUGAUUGAAUGGCAAUGUUUUUGCGUGUUUUACAUUUUUACAGAGUUUAUUCCUUGGUAUUUUUAAUGAAGCAAAAGUAACACUCGGAAUAAGUCUUGUUUAUUCCAUCGUAAGACCUUGAGUUAGCUUCUUCUUAGGAUCAUUGUGUAAGAAGCAGAUAAUUUCAGCUCAUAUCACCAAAUUAGAAUGACGUCUUAAUCACAUGACAUAUGUCUGUAGAUGCUUCCGUGGAAGACUAAAUAGAUGACACUGAUGAAUCAUAUCCUAUUCUCUCCAGCCAAGAAGACAGAAUUAUUCUGAGAGAAUUUACCAGAAAAUGAAUAUUCACAAGUCAAGCCGAACUGGAGGUGACCUCUCUCAAUGAAACUGAUAUAAUAAUAACAGAAUAGGCUCAGGAGAACUGAUCGAAUCUGGAGUUCAUUAAGAAUUGGUGAGAAGAAUUAUUUGGAGAAGACUCAAUUGGGAUUGAAUUUGACUCAGAAUUCUCGACUCUUGAAAUAUGAAUGAUUAAUCGAUUUGGGAAGUUAGUCUAUUUCACAGGGAAAACAUUGUUUUGAUUUCAUCAAGUGAUUCUGGAAUGUUUUUGCUUUCCACAUAAUCAUAUAUUCAUGUCAUGCCUGGGUAGCAAAGGCAAUUGUUGUAAUUCAGCAAUUUGAUUAGAACUGACAACAGAACAAAACAGAAAACAGACAUGUCAGAAAUGUUCUCAUUUCUAAACAUUUUAUGAUGACAUUUAACAUCAAACAUAAAACUGAAUGAUGUUUUGUAUCAGUAAAAAGGGUGAAUCGUUUUCAACUGAAGCAAUGCCUCUAAUGUUGUAUAGACUCUGUGACUGAGGAGGUUUCUUUCUCAACUGAAGGAUGUUUUAACUCACAAUUCUGCAAGACAUUUGAAAAGAAUCAAUACUUCUUCCUCCCUGAUUUACAGUUGCAACUAUUGCCAAACCAGAAGCAGCUCUUUCAACACAAAUGGGUGAAGUUUCAUCUUAGCCACAACUACUGAGUCUUCAAUAUCUUUCUUCAGUUGGUGAAUCCAGCUCCAGAAAAAUGGAAAUUUACUAGUUUUAAUUUUAAUUGAAACAUUAUGUAUCCACUUUGGAAAAUAUUAAAAGUGAACAUGUUAUGGUCAGUUUGUGUCUUCAGGACAAUGCUUAUGAUGUCACUCUAUGGCUGUAAACCUAUUGCUAUUAAGUUUCAUUGUUGCAGUAAAUCAUAUCAAGAUUUCAUCAAAUUACAAGUCCAUUACCUUCUGGCUGAAGACAUUAUUGAACCAUGUACAUCUCUUUGGUGUUUUGAAGUUGUUUCUACCAUGGAAUACCAUAAAAAUGAAUGGUUGUGGAUUAUUCUCAGAAAGAGAAUCGUUUCACCAAACUUGAUGUGAAUCAACGUCUUUGGAUUUCUGAUGAAAACAAUUCUAGGUUCUUGUGUAGAAAGCUGAUAAUUAAUUCCAGUUGAAAUCACCAUAUUGAAAUGACUUCUUACCACAUGUAGUUGCUUCAAUAUAAAGAAGAAACUUAAUGGAGGACACUCAACAGAACCAUAUCACUUCUUAUCGUUGUUGUUUAAUCAAAUAUCUGUGUUAAUCCAGCAGAAUUAAGUUAAAAGACUUUCCAGGCAAGACGUCUCUAUCUUUUACUUGGGAGCAUAGAACUACAUAAUUAAAUGGUCCUUUUUAAGAUGACAAGAUGUAGUGA